rnacentral:rRNA from 1 species
GAUGAACGCUGGCGGCGUGCCUAAUACAUGCAAGUCGAGCGAACAGACGAGGAGCUUGCUCCUUCGACGUUAGCGGCGGACGGGUGAGUAACACGUAGGUAACCUACCUAUAAGACUGGGAUAACUUCGGGAAACCGGAGCUAAUACCGGAUAAUAUUUCGAACCGCAUGGUUCGAUAGUGAAAGAUGGCUUUGCUAUCACUUAUAGAUGGACCUGCGCCGUAUUAGCUAGUUGGUAAGGUAACGGCUUACCGAGGCAACGAUACGUAGCCGACCUGAGAGGGUGAUCGGCCACACUGGAACUGAGACACGGUCCAGACUCCUACGGGAGGCAGCAGUAGGGAAUCUUCCGCAAUGGGCGAAAGCCUGACGGAGCAACGCCGCGUGAGUGAUGAAGGUCUUCGGAUCGUAAAACUCUGUUAUUAGGGAAGAACAAACGUGUAAGUAACUGUGCACGUCUUGACGGUACCUAAUCAGAAAGCCACGGCUAACUACGUG